rnacentral:rRNA from 1 species
GAUGAACGCUGGCGGCGUGCUUAACACAUGCAAGUCGAACGGAAAGGCCAGUGCUUGCACUGGUACUCGAGUGGCGAACGGGUGAGUAACACGUGGGUGAUCUGCCCUGUACUUCGGGAUAAGCUUGGGAAACUGGGUCUAAUACCGGAUAGGACAACUUUUUGGAUAUUGUUGUGGAAAGCUUUUGCGGUAUGGGAUGAGCUCGCGGCCUAUCAGCUUGUUGGUGGGGUAAUGGCCUACCAAGGCGUCGACGGGUAGCCGGCCUGAGAGGGUGUACGGCCACAUUGGGACUGAGAUACGGCCCAGACUCCUACGGGAGGCAGCAGUGGGGAAUAUUGCACAAUGGGCGCAAGCCUGAUGCAGCGACGCCGCGUGGGGGAUGAAGGCCUUCGGGUUGUAAACUCCUUUCGCUAGGGACGAAGCGCAAGUGACGGUACCUGGAGAAGAAGCACCGGCUAACUACG